rnacentral:tRNA from 1 species
GCCGAUGUAGUUCAAUGGUAGAACAUCACGUUGCCAACGUGAUAGCGCGGGUUCGAUUCCCGUCAUCGGCUCCA